rnacentral:rRNA from 1 species
CGCAGCUUACCAUGCAAGUCGAACGAACUCUUCGGAGUUAGUGGCAGACGGGUGAGUAACGCGUGGGAAUAUACCUUUCGGUACGGAACAACAGUUGGAAACGACUGCUAAUACCGUAUGCGCCCUAUGGGGGAAAGAUUUAUCGCCGAAGGAUUAGCCCGCGUUGGAUUAGCUAGUUGGUGGGGUAAAGGCCUACCAAGGCGACGAUCCAUAGCUGGUCUGAGAGGAUGAUCAGCCACACUGGGACUGAGACACGGCCCAGACUCCUACGGGAGGCAGCAGUGGGGAAUAUUGGACAAUGGGGGCAACCCUGAUCCAGCCAUGCCGCGUGAGUGAUGAAGGCCCUAGGGUUGUAAAGCUCUUUCAGCGAGGAGGAUAAUGACGUUACUCGCAGAAGAAGCCCCGGCUAACUUCGUGCCAGCAGCCGCGGUAAUACGAAGGGGGCUAGCGUUGUUCGGAAUCACUGGGCGUAAAGCGCACGUAGGCGGAUUGGUCAGUUAGGGGUGAAAUCCCAGAGCUCAACUCUGGAACUGCCUUUAAUACUGCCAGUCUUGAGUCCGAGAGAGGUGAGUGGAACUCCGAGUGUAGAGGUGAAAUUCGUAGAUAUUCG